GCCGUAUGGUGUGUGUGUCACUGGCAGCUGUUGUCAAAAGAAGGCACCUCUUUGUCUCCAGGGGAUGAAAGCCAUUUGGUUUCCAGCGCCACCCUUUCUCUCCGCCCGGCAACUUUUCUCCGCGUCCCGUCCCCAAGGCGUCCCUGGAUGCGCGCGCUCGGCCCCGCGCCCGCCACCCGCGCUGAGUGCUGGUAUCCUCCCCAUCACUCAGCCCAGAGCCGUUCUGCCUCUGCCUCAAACUCUCAGAGUCCUUAUAAGUCUUAUUCUCAAGAGUUGUGUCCCAGCGAAGGGAAUCCGCCUUGGAAAUCGCGGCUUCCUCCUUGCACGCCGCUCGCUGUUUCAGCGCAAGCCGGAUCUCCCCUCACACCCAACAGCACCACCUUCCGAGACUAGCGGCUCAUUACCGCCCAGUCCCCGCGGCCGGCGCAAGAACUCCUCGCCGGGCCCCAUUCCAGGCUGGGUCGGGUCUUUAGAAUAAGGACCAGUUGUGUGUCUCCCUGUCGCUGGCAGCGGAUCACUUUCUGGCUGAAGAAAAGACAAAACGACGAGGGAAACAAUAGGACCUGUAUGUUUUACACACAGUUCUCAUUCGAAAUGUAUCAUGAUCAUAUUUUUAAAGAUGCGUGUUACCUUUCAUAAAUACCUAAAUAAAACUUACUUUCUGUUGUCUGCGGA
rnacentral:lncRNA from 1 species